GCAGGGGUACAAACACACAGCCAGGUAACCAUACAGAUCACAGACAGGUAACCACACAGCCAGGUAACCAUACAGAUCACAGACAGGUAAACACACAGCCAGGUAACCAUACAGAUCACAGACAGGUAACCACACAGCCAGGUAACCAUACAGAUCACAGACUGGUAACCACACAGCCAGGUAACCACACAGCACACAGACAGGUAACCACACAGACAGGUAACCACACAGCACACAGACUGGUAACCACACAGCCAGGUAACCAUACAGAUCACAGACUGGUAACCACACAGCCAGGUAACCACACAGCACACAGACAGGUAACCACACAGACAGGUAACCACACAGCCAGGUAACCACACAGCACACAGACUGGUAACCACAGAGCACACUGCCAGGUAACCACACAGCACACAGACUGGUAACCACAGAGCACACUGCCAGGUAACCACACAGCCAGGUAACCACACA